CAGUAGACACGGAGGGAAUGUAGCAUGGA
rnacentral:piRNA from 1 species